UGGGGAAUAUUGCACAAUGGGCGAAAGCCUGAUGCAGCGACGCCGCGUGAGUGAUGACGGCCUUCGGGUUGUAAACCUCUUUCAGCAGGGACGAAGCGCAAGUGACGGUACCUGCAGAAGAAGCACCGGCUAACUACGUGCCAGCAGCCGCGGUAAUACGUAGGGUGCAAGCGUUGUCCGGAAUUACUGGGCGUAAAGAGUUCGUAGGCGGUUUGUCGCGUCGUUUGUGAAAACCAGCAGCUCAACUGCGGGAUUGCAGGCGAUACGGGCAGACUGGAGUACUGCAGGGGAGAGUGGAAUUCCUGGUGUAGCGGUGAAAUGCGCAGAUAUCAGGAGGAACACCGGUGGCGAAGGCGGGUCUCUGGGCAGUAACUGACGCUGAGGAACGAAAGCGUGGGGAGAGAACAGG
rnacentral:rRNA from 1 species